UAUUUCUUUAUUGUAGCUCAGCUCGUACACUAGUGCUUGCAUUUUCUAUAUGAAGAAAAGACGAACUCUACGAGGAUCACGCCUUACUUCCGCGAUUGAAGCUUCCACCGGCUCAAACGCGUCAAGGAAUGUGCCCAUUGAUGAUAUCGAAACUCAACCGCUGGAUUCAUACGAGGAAGAAGUACCAGAGACUCCAACCGAUCCACAAGUGAGAAAACGAGGAAAAACGAGUGUGGGAGAUAUUUGGAAUCUUCCUCCGGGCGAACGUAUAAUUGUUGAACUCGAUGAGUAUGGCCAUCCUGUUGAGAGGGAAGCUUCAUUGCUGGCAAAGUUCAUUAGGACGAUAGUCCAGAAUGGAAAUUUGUGCCCUGUGGAUACCGAACAUUGGGGAAAAGUCCCAAAAUGUAUAAAGGACAACAUUUUGAAGAUCAUUCGUGUAACGUCGGAGGUUAUGAUAUCUUGUCUUGGUUAUUGGACAACAUCAUCUCAUGCUUCAUAUGGUAAUUUUACUAAUUCGACAUUCUUUUUUUCGCAGGAGAAAUUUGAGUUCUAAUGUCAUAUAGAAGAUAAAGAGAUCUUGAGCAGGUUCCAAGAUUCGUAAGCGAAAUGAUUUGAAAAGUACGGUAUACCUCCCAAAGGUCGAGAAAAGAUGUUCGAUCGAGGAAAUUCAAUCAGAGUGCCCCCUGGUGUUGCUGAAGUUCAGAGGAAGAAAUUUGUGGACUAUUGCCGAACCCCAGGGGCAGAUAGGAAAUCGAAACACGGGAAGGCAUUACGAGGCAAGAUGCGGCAUCAUCACACCACCGGAUCUACGAGUUUUUCCACUCCUGCACGCAGAUUUGAAAAAUCAGAGAGGGUCGAGCUCCUUCAAGGCUGGAGCGGUUCAAAUACCAACAUAAGCAUCCCGAUGGGUCAUUAAUCAAUGAGGAUGAUGAACAAAUCCUUACUCAAGCCAAAAAGUGGGUCGAGGAUCGUCUCUCUGAAACACAAGCAGCUGGCAUAUGGUUGAUAAAGUCACUGUGGAAAAUGAGGUGUACGCAGAAGUGUUCUGCCCGGACAACCAUGGAAGGGUAACUGGAUUUGGGCGUGGGAUGACGCAAUCGAGGUUGCGUGGUGCUUCGAUAAGUCAAACAACCUAAUCAAGCCCAGCUCUGGAAAGAGAGUUGAAAGAGGUUUUUGGGAACAACACGAGCAACAUUUGGAAACAAUUCGAGAAGAACAAGUUCAAUGUGAAGAAUCGCUUCAGGCUAAACAAGAAUGGCAUGAGGAAGCAAUCCGGGCUGAACAACAACGGAAUCAGGAAGCCAUUCGAGCAGAACAACACCGAUGUGAAGUAGAACUUCGAGCUAAACUUGAAGAUAAAUUUCGCCAGGAGGCAGAUGCUUUAGCAACUAAGGUGCUUAAGGCUUCCGAGGAGAUACUGAAGAGGAAAUAUGAUACCUUAUUUUUUGAUUUUUUGAAGGCUGGGAAGUUCCUGGACAGCUCGCAAGUUAAACCAGUGUCACAGCUGAAUGGGCAUGGACGCAGAGGUUCGAAUGAUGACACCACCCAAUAAUUGCUUGUCUUUCAUUACGUCGUUGUUCGACCAUGUUGGGAUUAAUAUGCCUAUCUUGCUGUUUAAACUUAAGACGUCAGGGAUCGGCAUUUGUCGUGUAAUGUAAUAUGGAUGGAUUCUUAAUUAAAUUAUGUAAUAUUACUUU